rnacentral:rRNA from 1 species
UACGUAGGGCGCAAGCGUUAUCCGGAAUUAUUGGGCGUAAAGAGCUCGUAGGCGGUUUUGUCGCGUCUGCCCGUGAAAAGUCCCGGGGGCUCAACUCCGGAUCUGCGGUGGGGUACGGGCAGACUAGAGUGAUGUAGGGGGAGACUGGAAUUCCUGGUGUAGCGGUGAAAUGCGCAGAUAUCAGGAGGAACACCGAUGGCGAAGGCAGGUCUCUGGGCAUUAACUGACGCUGAGGAGCGAAAGCAUGGGGGAGCGAACAGG